rnacentral:rRNA from 1 species
GUAAGGGUUUUAGGUGGAUGCCUAGGAUAAGAGAAGCGAUGAAGGACGUGAUAUGGCUGCGAUAAGUUUCGGCGAGGUGCCAAAUAACCUUCGACCCGGAAAUUUCCGAAUGGGGAAACCCUCCUGCUUUCAGCAGGAAUCUGUGUAUGCAGAUGCGCACCCAGGGAAGUGAAACAUCUCAGUACCUGGAGGAAUAGAAAGCAAUAAACGGAACUUUCUUUCUGAACGGAUGCCUAGCAUCACGUUCUGGAUUUAUCUUGAGCGGUGAUGCGAAAGUACCAUUACGUUCAGGAAGAAGGUUCUUGCGAUUCCCUUAGUAGCGGCGAGCGAAACGGGAACAGCCCAAACCAUUCGUGUUUACAUGAAUGGGGUUGUAGGGCAGAGUUGGCAUUUAGUUGCAAUGAGUUACAAAAUGUAUGUAUAGAAAAAUGCGUUGGAAAGCGCGACCCCAGUAGGUAAUAGUCCUGUAUUCGAAAUAUAUACAACUCAUCUGAUUCUGUUCCUGAGUAGUUCGGGACACGAAUAGCCCGAAUGAAUCUACCAGAACUAACUGGAAAGGCUAAAUAUUCUCUUAUACCGAUAGUGAACAAGUACCGUGAGGGAAAGGUGAAAAGAACCCCGGAGAGGGGAGUGAAAUAGAUCUGAAACCUAAAACUUACAAGGAGUCGGAGCCCAGCACUUUGUUUUGGAAUGAAUUCAAAAACAAAGUGCUGGGUGACGGCGUGCCUAUUGAAGAAUGAGCCGGCGAGUGUACCUUUAUCCUUCGUCUAAGUGGUAAUCCCACGGAGGCAUAGUGAAAGCGAGCGUGAAUAGCGCGAAAAUAUAGGAUAGGGGUACGACCCGAAGCGGGAUGAGCUUGCCAUGAGCAGGGUGAAGCGACUGUAAUAGGUCGUGGAGGCCCGAACCGGUUGGCCGUUCAAAACCAUCGGAUGACUUGUGGUAAGGAGUGAAAAGCUUAUCGAAUUCCGUAAUAGCUGGUUCUCUCCGAAACAGCUUUUGGGUUGGCGUCGUGUGAUCCCUCUGGGGGUAGAGCACUGGCAGGAACAAACAGGGAGAAAUCUCGUUGUUCCUAUCAAACUCCGAAUACCAGUAGGUUAUAGCACGGCAGUUAGACUGUGGGGGCGAAGCUCCAUUGGUCGAAAGGGAAACAGCCCAGAUCGCCGAUUAAGGUCCCUAAAUAUAUGCUCAGUGCAACUUGAGGAGGUGAGGAUUCUCCGACAAUCAGGAGGUUGGCUUAGAAGCAGCCAUCCUUUAAAGAUAGCGUAACAGCUCACUGAUCGAGAGUCCUUGCGCCGAAGAUGAUCGGGGCUCAAGCAUAUUACCGAAAUCGCGGAUUCGAGCGCAUCACAUUGCAUGUGAUGUGCAGUUGCAUAGUUUAAAAGUUGAACGGUUGCAUUGUACGCGUUUCGCGCGCCACUAUGCAACUUUGCAACCAUUUAACUAUUUAACUGUAGCAUCGCGCGCAGCGUGAUGCGUUCGAGUGGUAGGAGAGCGUUCGUAUUGCAAUGAAUCCAAGGCGAGAGCCGCGGUGGAGCGAUGCGAAGUGAGAAUGCCGGCACAAGUAACCGCAAGACGGGUGAGACCCCCGUCCGCCGAAAUACCAAGGUUUCCUUUGCUAUGUUGAUCAGCGAAGGGUUAGUCGGUCCUAAGGAAAUCCCGAAAGGGGGAUUCGAUGGAUAGCAGGUUAAUAUUCCUGCACACUGUUAUGUUGCGAUGGAGGGACGGAGGGUUGUACUUAACGCGACUUAUUGGAUUGUCGUAGGAGGUUCGAGGGUGCUAGAUAGGCAAAUCCGUCUAGCGUUAGCCCGAGUUCAGUCUAAAGGUGAGGCUUCGGCCGAUCUGAUGUUAGGGAGCACGCUUCCAAGAAAAACUUCUAAGCAUAAACAUAACGGUUCCGUACCGCAAUCCGACACAGGUGGUAGAGUCGAGAAGACUAAGGCGAACGAGUGAGAGGUCCUCAAGGAACUCGGCAAAUAAGCGGCCGUAACUUAGGGAUAAGGCCUGCCCAAUGCACCACUUUGUCCUCAACAAUGGAAAGAAGAAAAGUGGUGGCAAGAUUAAAAACACUUAAAGAAGCACGUGGCAAAGUGAUUGCGUGGUGCGAAAAAUUUGGUCUGGAUUAUUUUUGAAGAUGGCGACGAGCUCGUCAUUUCUGCUUAUGCAGACAAAAAAGAUGCUGAUGAGCUGCAAGCAGCUGCACGGCGUCUAUAGAAGUUGAGGCUAAAGUGGUGUAUUGGGCCGCAGCGAAAGAUUUCCUGCCGACUGUUUAUCAAAAACACAGCUCCCUGCGAACUCGCAAGAGGAUGUAUAGGGGGUGACGCCUGACCUAUGCUGGAAGGUUAAGUACGGGGGGUGAUAUGAUCUUCGGAUUGUAUUGCUGGACUGUAUAAGCCCCAGUAAAUGUCAGCGAUAACUAUAAUCGUUCUAAGGUUCAGCGUGUUAUUACCAACCUAGGACAUUCGAUGUCCUAGGUUGGCUCAAUGCGCUGACGGAUUGGAACGAUUAUAUGAGACCGCAAGGUCUCAUUGGUAAACAUCCUAGCCAUAGUUACCUUGCGCACCGAAAUGUGCGCAUAAUCCAAAUCUAGCCAACAAGAGACCAGAUGCUAGAUACCCAAGUGCCCUCCGAUUUAUCGGGAGUAACGGGUAAAGAUAGAGUCCUAUUGUGCAAGCGAAUAGGGAAUAUAGAGCGUAUUUCCUUGUCGGGUAAGUUCCGACGUGCACGAAUGGCGUAACGAGUGGGAAACUGUCUCGAGGACCUGCUCGGUGAAAAUACAAUCGCGGUAAAGAUGCCGCGUACCUGCAGAUAGACGAAAAGACCCCAGGAGCUUUACUGUAGCUUCGUAUUGAGGCUAUUGAAUUUAUGUGUAGCAUAGUGGGGAGACUUUGAAGCGGGCUUUCGGGUACCGUGGAGUCGCAAUAUGAAAUACCCAUCUUAAUUUUGGUAGUUUCUAACCUGGUUGAAAAAAUCAAUUAGGGACAGUGCGUGGCAGGCAGUUUUAGUGGGGCGCUACCCUCCCAAAAAGUAACGGAGGGGUCUCAAGGUUGGUUAGGCGCGAAUGGAAACCGUGCUGAUAGUGUAAUGGCAUAAACCAGCUUGACUGUAAGGCGUAGGUGCC